rnacentral:rRNA from 1 species
AACGAACGCUGGCGGCAGGCUUAACACAUGCAAGUCGAAAGCAUCCUUCGGGGUGAGUGGCAGACGGGUGAGUAACGCGUGGGAACGUGCCCUUCAGUUCGGGAUAACCCAGGGAAACUUGGGCUAAUACCGGAUACGUGCGAGAGCAGAAAGAUUUAUCGCUGAAGGAUCGGCCCGCGUCUGAUUAGCUAGUUGGUGGGGUAAUGGCCCACCAAGGCGACGAUCAGUAGCUGGUCUGAGAGGAUGAUCAGCCACAUUGGGACUGAGACACGGCCCAAACUCCUACGGGAGGCAGCAGUGGGGAAGAUUGGACAAUGGGCGCAAGCCUGAUCCAUCCAUGCCGCGUGAGUGUUGAAGGCCGUAAGGUUGUAAAGCUCUUUCGUCCGGGACGAUAAUGACGGUACCGGAAGAAGAAGCCCCGGCUAACUUCGUGCCAGCAGCCGCCGUAA